rnacentral:rRNA from 1 species
UACGUAGGGUGCGAGCGUUGUCCGGAAUUAUUGGGCGUAAAGAGCUCGUAGGCGGUUUGUCGCGUCGGCCGUGAAAACUCCGGGCUCAACUCGGAGACGCCACUCGAUACUGCCAUGACUCGAGUCCGGUAGGGGAGUGCGGAAUUCCUGGUGUAGCGGUGAAAUGCGCAGAUAUCAGGAGGAACACCGGUGGCGAAGGCGGCACUCUGGGCCGGUACUGACGCUGAGGAGCGAAAGCGUGGGGAGCGAACAGG